rnacentral:rRNA from 1 species
GUUUACGACCAUACCACGUUGAAAGCACGCCAUCCCGUCCGAUCUGCAACGUUGGGCUUCCUUAGUACUUGUAACGGAGACGUCCUGGGAAUCGGCGGUGUUGCAGACU